ensembl:lncRNA
GAGUACAUGAGAGUUCUUUAUUCCUGUUCUCUCUACUCUUGUUAUGUGUGUAAUUUCUAUUUUUAAAAGGGUUUAUUUAAGAUAAGAGAAAAGAAAAAAAUUGAAAAAGUGUUUGACAAUAUCCAUUUCUGAGUUUUAAAAAAAGCUCUCAACGAACUAGAGAAUACAAGGGAGCUUCCUCAACUUAAUAACAAUCUAUGAAAAUCCUCAGACCCGGAGUUGACCAUUUCUCCAAGGAGCACCUAUUGCCUUUAAUUCGAAAUGGUAUUUAUUAUGCCUUUUCUCUUUGAUACAAACAAUGAAAUUUUUUUUAUCUUUGUCUGCC